rnacentral:rRNA from 1 species
GUUAACUUUGAAACUGCGAAUGGCUCAUUAUAUCAGUUAUAGUUUAUUUGACGAAGAAUACUAAUUGGAUAACCGUAGUAAUUCUAGAGCUAAUACAUGUAUAAAGUCUUGUAGACUGCAUUUAUUAGAAUGAAAACCAUAGGUUUCGGCCUAUUCGUGAGUAAUAAUAACUAAUCAUAUCGUAUGCUUAUGUAACGAUGUGUCUUUCAAGUUUCUGCCCUAUCAGCUUUCGAUGGUAGUGU